GGCUCGGCUCUACGCAGCGGGUGUCCUUUGAAUCGGGUCAGGCCGGGAACGGAGCAGCCCUAAGAAGAACUAUCCGGGUGCCGUAGAUGUCCGGGUCUCC
rnacentral:SRP_RNA from 1 species